UACGUAGGGUGCAAGCGUUGUCCGGAAUUAUUGGGCGUAAAGAGCUCGUAGGCGGUUCGUCGCGUCGGCUGUGAAAUCCCGGAGCUCAACUCCGGGUCUGCAGUCGAUACGGGCGGACUCGAGUUCGGCAGGGGAGACUGGAAUUCCUGGUGUAGCGGUGAAAUGCGUAGAGAUCCGGAAGAACACCGGUGGCGAAGGCGGCCUGCUGGGCAGUUGCUGACACUGAGGCGCGACAGCGUGGGGAGCAAACAGG
rnacentral:rRNA from 1 species